AGUCGAGCGAGACCUUCGGGUCUAGCGGCGGACGGGUUAGUAACGCGUGGGAACGUACCCUUUUCUACGGAAUAGCCUUUGGAAACGAAGAGUAAUACCGUAUACGCCCUUCGGGGGAAAGAUUUAUCGGAGAAGGAUCGGCCCGCGUUAGAUUAGAUAGUUGGUGGGGUAAUGGCCUACCAAGUCUACGAUCUAUAGCUGGUUUUAGAGGAUGAUCAGCAACACUGGGACUGAGACACGGCCCAGACUCCUACGGGAGGCAGCAGUGGGGAAUCUUAGACAAUGGGCGCAAGCCUGAUCUAGCCAUGCCGCGUGAGUGAAGAAGGCCUUAGGGUCGUAAAGCUCUUUCGCCAGGGAUGAUAAUGACAGUAUCUGGUAAAGAAACCCCGGCUAACUCCGUGCCAGCAGCCGCGGUAAUACGGAGGGGGUUAGCGUUGUUCGGAAUUACUGGGCGUAAAGCGCACGUAGGCGGAUUAGUAAGUUAGAGGUGAAAUCCCAGGGCUCAACCCUGGAACUGCCUUUAAUACUGCUAGUCUUGAGUU
rnacentral:rRNA from 1 species